CCUACGGGAGACAGCAGUGGGGAAUAUUGCACAAUGGAGGAAACCCUGAUGCAGCGACGCCGCGUGAGUGAAGAAGUAUUUCGGUAUGUAAAGCUCUAUCAGCAGGGGAGAAGAAAGACGGUACCUGACUAAGAAGCCCCGGCUAACUACGUGCCAGCAGCCGCGGUACUACGUAGGGGGCAAGCGUUAUCCGGAUUUACUGGGUGUAAAGGGAGCGUAGACGGCUGGGCAAGUCUGAGGUGAAAGCCCAGGGCUCAACUCCGGGACUGCUUUGGAAACUGUGGAGCUAGAGUGCUGGUGAGGUAAGUGGAAUGUCUAGUGUAGCGGUGAAAUGCGUAGAUAUUAGGCGGAACACCAGUGGCGAAGGCGGCUUACUGGACAGUAACUGACGUUGAGGCUCGAAAGCGUGGGGAGCAAACAGGAUUAGAUACCCGGGUAGUC
rnacentral:rRNA from 1 species